CUUUUUAGGGCCGCACCCACCUCAUAUGGAGGUUCCCAGGAUAGGGGUCCAAUUGGAGCUGUAGCCACCUGCCGAUGCCACAGCCAAAGCAAAGCAGGAUCUGAGCCGCAUCUGGGACCUAUACCACAGCUCACAGCAAUGCCAGAUCCUUAACCCACUGAGCAAGGCCAAGGAUCAAACCUGUGUCCUCAUGGAUGCUAGUUGGGUUUGUUAACCAUUGAGCCAUGAUGCGAAUUCCCUAAUUAGAAAUGUCUUGACUCAGUGUGUUCACGAUAAUAUUCCUUAGAGUAGAUUGAAGUCUACUCAAUAUUCUGUGAUAAUCUAUAUGGAAAUGGAAAUAUGUAUAACUGAAUCACUUUGUUAUACUGCAGAAAUUAACACAAUAUUGUAAAUCAAAAAUACUUCAAUAGAAUUUUUUAAAAAUAAUAAUCUUUAGUGUAAGCUGUAUUAUUGACAAAAUACUCUCUGCCCCUCGCUCCCACCCCCUACACAUAUACACACCAGGCCUCUUCCUGCGGCCAGGUUAUAUUUCCCACAUUAUUCCCUUUGGCUUAGCCAAUAAACUGUGAAGAGCAAUAGCAUGUGCCACUUCCAAGCAGUGGUGUUAACAGCCAUUUCUCAUUUCUUUCUGCCAGGAGCUGGCAUGUCUUCAGCCUCUGUCCCAAACAAAUGACAUGGAGUGUAGCUGCUGCCCAACCAGGGUACACAUUCACAUGAGCUGAAAAUGAACUCAUGCUACUGUUCUGAUACAUUCUCUCUCUCACACACACACACACACACACACACACACACAUACUAUAAGACCCAAAGCCCCAACAAUCAAUCUUUAAAUACAUUUUUUACUUAGCAUGUGUUACUUUCAGGAAAGCACUGUGCUGGGCACUCACAUUUAACCGGGGAAUGUCUAGACAUGCAGGGGAAAAGAUCCAGAUGUAUUAAUAAACUAUUUUUUUAUGUAAAGAAAAUGAACACAGUCCUCUCAGGAAAAAUUCUCAGCAACUGAUUUUGAAAGCUUCUAUUGCCUACGAUUUCUGGGUAAUCAAAAUGUGAUGGAAUAAAAACUCAAGGUGGUAAAAUAGAUACACUCUGAGGCUAUUAAUUUUAGAAAAGGAUUCUUCAGUUUAAAAGAGGAUUCCCUGGUUCCUUUGAUGAACUCUUAUCUCUUCAGCCCAUGACCUUUCCAUCAGGUGAAGAAGCCCACAGCCUAGUUGAGGCAAUGAGGCAGUCAGUCCACUAGCAUCAAGGUGACCUUGACCCUGCCCAGCUCAUGGAGGAGUCUCACAUCCCAGCUGCCCAGUGUUCCUUAAGGCCAACAGUGUGCAAGUUCAGAUCCACAAAGGUUCAAAGCUGAUCCUUCCUGAUUAAACCUCAUGAGAUCUAAGAAAAAUGGAUCCCCCAAGAGUGAGAUUUAGUACGUAUUUCUCCUCCCCUGCCUGCUAUGUCUGGGGGAAGGCCCAGAAGAGCUUUAAUCAUAAACAUUAAGUAAGACAUUCUAUGUAUGCUCAUCCAGAGCAUUUAAAAUAUGGUGAGAAGUGCAUACAAUUUCUCAAAAAGCCUGUACACCCAUAGUGAGAAAUAGCUAUAAAGGGAUCCUGUUUCUUAUAGAAAAGCCCAGAUAAAUGCUAUGCUCUUAAGGGAAGGUAGGACAAAAGGGAAGGAUUGGAAUGAUCACUGGCAGGGGGUGGGGAUAGCUGGUAAGUCAGCAGAAAGAUCAGGUAAAGAAUUUAUCCACUUAGAGAUCUUUAAGAAUGAGCAGUAUCUGCCCAUCUUCCCUGUUAUCGGAAACCACAAAGCAUGGAAGAUACUCAGGUGAUCUAAUACACCGGUAUAAUCUUGCCUGAAACAACCCUUGGCAUCUGAGAUUCCCACUGGGAAGACCUGGAAAGCAGCAGGGUUUGCUGUAACUUGUGGAUGCAGUGAAAAGAGUGAGUCCUAAGGUGGCCUUGGCAUCAUUCUGGCCCCUCAGGUCCAAUCAUCCCAGGCCACACUCAAAUUCCUCUCCCCCACCCCCCAGCAGACUCUCAGUUUGGUGGGAGUUGUCAGUGGUUGAGCAGAAAGGCAAUCUACCUCCCUGGCAAGAGCGGGAAUGGGGAGUCUCUUCCUGUGCACUUUCCCUUCCACCCUCUUGCUCCCAAGGCUUCAGGAAGGGGGGGAGGAACCUUCUGGAAGGGGACUCAGAGGAGGUCUCAGCAAAAAACCUGGAGCAAGAGGAGGCACUGGGGAUGCCAGAGAGUGACCCCAAGGAAGGGAGAGCCUUUGGUGGGGUGGGAAGACUGCUGAGCCAAUACCCAUCGAUCCAGUCAUAGAUCCAUUCGUUGGCCCACUUUUCCUAAUGAG
rnacentral:lncRNA from 1 species